AAAAGUGCGCAGGAGCCUCUUCCACUUUUCCUGCUUUUCCUUCUUUCUUCGACGUGCAUUUCGUAUCGUUUUACCGGUUGAAGAUAGUGUGAGACAUUGAGACGCAGACAAAUGAAAGGACCAUCUCGAAUUGCACUCAAGAGACGCUCGAGAAACGGAAAUCCGUGGAAUUUAGUCAGAACCUAAUUGGUUUCCUU
ensembl:ncRNA C29H12.13 ncRNA